GUCAGGAGAAACGUUAGUUUUCAUUAAAUGUCUUCUCUGUGCCGGGCACCUUGCAGUCAUUAUUUCCUUUCAUACUCACAAUGAGAUGGGUAUUAGUUCACUUUACAGAUGAGGAAACUGAGGCGUAGAAGGCUUGAUCAAGAUCACAGAAAUAGUGAGCAGGAGUACUUCUAUUCUAACCCAGAGCUGACCACGACGCUAUACUUUGCUCCUUCUACAGCACUGUCAGCCAGAUACCCAGCAGCUAACACAGAAGCCACCUUAGCAGCUGUGGGAAACCAAGAAAUGAAGAACCAAAGUAAAAGGAAGCAAAUGGUUUUGUGAACAUUGAUUUCCCA
rnacentral:lncRNA from 1 species